GACAGAGGGUGCAAACGUUGCUCGGAAUUACUGGGCGUAAAGCGCGUGUAGGCGGGCCCCCAAGUCGGACGUGAAAGCCCCGAGCUCAACUCGGGAACUGCAUCCGAAACUGAGGGCCUUGAGUGAUGGAGAGGGAAGCAGAAUUCCCAGUGUAGCGGUGAAAUGCGUAGAUAUUGGGAGGAACACCGGUGGCGAAGGCGGCUACCUGGACCGGUUCUGACGCUGAUGCGCGAAAGCGUGGGUAGCAAACAGG
rnacentral:rRNA from 1 species